UACUGUUUUGGAAGGUUUUGAGGGCCGAGGAGUCCAGAUUUUGGUGCAGGACCGGCCUCUAUCAGGCGAGCAUUUUCAACAAUCCAGCUGCGCUCUCAACAAUAUGGACUCCUCUACCGUCAAAAUCUUCCAAAAUGGUA
rnacentral:pre_miRNA from 1 species